rnacentral:rRNA from 2 species
AGUCAACCUAACCUAUGGACGGGGAUAACCUCGGGAAACUGAGAAUAAUACCCGAUAGAUCAUGAUACCUGGAAUGGUUUAUGGUUCAAAUGAUUUAUCGCCAUAGGAUGGGACUGCGGUCUAUCAGCUUGUUGGUGAGGUAAUGGCCCACCAAGGCUAUAACAGAUACGGGCUCUGAGAGGAGGGGCCCGGAGAUGGGUACUGAGACACGGACCCAGGUCCUAUGGGGCGCAGCAGGCGAGAAACCUUUGCAAUGUGCGAAAGCACGACAAGGUUAAUCCGAGUGAUUCCUGCUAAAGGAAUCUUUUGUUAGUCAUAAAACCACUGAUGAAUAAGGGGUGGGCAAGUUCUGGUGUCAGCCGCCGCGGUAAUACCAGCACCUCGAGUGGUCAGGAGGUUUAUUGGGCCUAAAGCAUCCGUAGCCGGCUGCUCAAGUUUCCGGUUAAAUCCACACGCUUAACGUAUGGGCUGCCGGAAAUACUGUUCAGCUAGGGAGUGGGAGAGGUAGACGGUACUCGAUAGGAAGGGGUAAAAUCCUUUGAUCUAUUGAUGACCACCUGUGGCGAAGGCGGUCUACCAGAACACGUUCGACGGUGAGGGAUGAAAGCUGGGGGAGCAAACCGGAUUAGAUACCCGGGUAGUCCCAGCUGUAAACGAUGCAGACUCGGUGAUGCAUUGGCUUAUGGCCAGUACAGUGCCGCAGGGAAGCCGUUAAGUUUGCCGCCUGGGAAGUACGUACGCAAGUAUGGAACUUAA